rnacentral:miRNA from 13 species
UGUAUCACGUGUGACCUCCCUC